rnacentral:lncRNA from 12 species
CCCCCCCCCCCCCCCCCCCCCCCCCCCCCCCCCCCCCCCCCCCCCCCCCCCCCCCCCCGGGGGGCUGGUCGCGUACCCCAGGCUGAAGCUGAAGAUCAUGAUCCGGGACAAGCUCAUCCGCGACGGCAUCAACCUGAGCAAGCCGCCCUACUCCAACAAGAUGCUGUUCAGAUACUGCUUUGGACAACAGUGCUCAAGAGGAAGAUCCAUAUUUAGGGAUGCAUUUUCAGUCAAUUCUGCUUAAAUGGAGUAGGUGCUUCAACACGAGAUCUUCCUGGAUCUUCCAGAGAAUGAGCAGAAUUAUGUAAAGCUUCAGUUCUUCUAUCAAGUAGUACUUGUGACAAUAUCAACCGAUUACUCAUCUGGAGUGUUGUCUACAGAUUCCGUGGCCCAGCUAGAAAACCUGCUUUAUAGACCAAUGAUGAAAUGGUUGAAUGCACCCAAAUAACCUAAGACCCUACCUGAAAAAGAAAUAAAAAAUAAUUAGGAUUCUAAAUGUAAUUGAAAAUAUUUCUGCCUUCUUUUGCUUUAUUUGCUCUGCUAGAUUUAAAUCCAGGGAUUUAAAAUAUGCAUGUUUUCCAUAUUGUCUCACUAUACCCUGGAGAUGCUCUGUGUAAGCUGUUUUUAAUUAGAUUUGUGGUUAAAAGAAACUGCCUUUGUACUAGUUGAGCAACUGAUGUGUUGAAUAAUUUUAAUGGCACUCUUUCUAUUCUGUGUGUGUGAUCAUUUACAAUUUUUU